AAGAACUUGCUCUCUUUAUUGAAUGCCUUAGAAAAUAUGCUCAAAACUAAAACACUCCUCUAUCGUUAUAUCAAUACCACAACUCGGUAUGUAUAUAUAUAUUAGAGUAGAUUUCCUUUUCCUAAUAGUUAUAGAUAACUCCUAAGACUACUAGGUUUAUCUUAAGCUUGUCUUAUCCUUAUCCAACUUGAUAAAGGAUAUCUUGAGCUUCAAGCUAUCAAAGCUUACCCAAC
rnacentral:lncRNA from 1 species